GAGGUGGGAGUCUACUGAGGUGAGGUAUGGUGCUGGGUGCAGAUGCAAUGUGGCUCUGGAUAGCACCUUAUGGACAGUUGUGUCCCAAAGGAAGGAUGAGAAUAGCUACUGAAGUCCUAAAGAGCAAGCCUAACUCAAGCCAUUGGCACACCGGUAUGGAGAGUCGGCUUGACUACACUGUGUGGAGCAAGUUUUAAAGAAGCAAAGGACUCAGAAUUCAUGCUUGAAGAAAUGCAGGCAGACCUGUUAUCCUAAACUAGGGUUUUUAAUGACCACGACAAGCAAGCAUGCAGCUUACUGCUUGAAAGGGUCUUGCCUCACCCAAGCUGGAGUGCAGUGGCCUCUGAAGCUUACUACAGCCUCAAACUUCUGGGCUCAAGUGAUCCUCAGCCUCCCAAUGGUCUUUGUAGACUGCCUGAUGGAGUCUCAUGGCACAAGAAGAUUAAAACAAUGCUCCAAUUUUAAUAAAUUUUUGCAAUCCA
rnacentral:lncRNA from 1 species